rnacentral:rRNA from 1 species
AUACGGAGGAUCCGAGCGUUAUCCGGAUUUAUUGGGUUUAAAGGGUGCGCAGGCGGCCAUUUAAGUCAGCGGUUAAAUCGUGGGGCUCAACCCCAUUCUGCCGUUGAUACUGGGUGGCUUGAUUGCGGUCGAGGUUGGCGGAAUUCGUUGUGUAGCGGUGAAAUGCAUAGAUAUGACGAAGAACACCGAUUGCGUAGGCAGCUGACCAGACCGCAAAUGACGCUCAUGCACGAAAGUGCGGGGAUCGAACAGGAUUAGAUACCCUGGUAGUCCGCACAGUAAACGAUGAAUACUUGUUUUCGGCGAUAUAAUGUCGGAGGCAAAGCGAAAGCGAUAAGUAUUCCACCUGGGGAGUACGCCGGCAACGGUGGAACUCAAAUGAAUUGACGGGG